CUACACGGGUAUCUAAUCCUGUUUGCUCCCCACGCCCUCGCGCAUCAGCGUCAGAUUUGAGCCAGAUAGACGCCUUCGCCACUGGUGUUCCUCCUAAUAUUUACGAAUUUCACCUCUACACUAGGAAUUCCUCUGUCCUCUCUCAAACUCUAGGUUAGCAGUUUUAAGAGCAGUUCCAAAGUUGAGCUUUGGGAUUUCACUCUUAACUUACUAACCAGCCUACGCGCCCUUUACGCCCAAUGAUUCCGAAUAACGCUAGCCCUCUCCGUAUUACCGCGGCUGCUGGCAC
rnacentral:rRNA from 1 species